UACAGAGGUCCCAAGCGUUGUUCGGAUUCACUGGGCGUAAAGGGUGCGUAGGUGGGCAGGUAAGUCAGUGGUGAAAUCUCCGGGCUUAACUCGGAAACUGCCAUUGAUACUAUCUGUCUUGAAUACCGUGGAGGUCAGCGGAAUAUGUCAUGUAGCGGUGAAAUGCUUAGAUAUGACAUAGAACACCAAUUGCGAAGGCAGCUGGCUACACGAAUAUUGACACUGAUGCACGAAAGCGUGGGGAUCAAACAGG
rnacentral:rRNA from 1 species